rnacentral:lncRNA from 1 species
UCUUAUUGUAUAGAGGCCAUCACCAGGCCAGCAUCUACCAUCAAGAUGUGCAGUUCUACUUUGGGAAGUGGAAUCACUGUGGUCAUUUUAGGUUGACAGUCUCUUCAGAGAAAGUAGAAAGUGCACAUGUCAGAGAUGAGUCCAGAAUGCCAUCCAUUCAUCUGUUCAGGAAAUAUUUAUUGAGGACCUACUCUGUACUAAAGAUCUAGAAGUCAAAGAUGUGGCCUCCACCAUCAUAGAGGGAUUCACAGAGGGGAACAGCUCAGAAAACCAGUGCCAUCUGUGUGCUUUAAUAGAGGCACACUCAGGGUGCCCUCAGCAUGCCCUGGAGGAGCAUGGGAUUUGGUCUUUAAUUAGAUGAAAAGAGAGGGAAAUACCAGGAAGUACUUUCAAGAGAAGUUAGUGCUCCCAUUACAUUUUAGGCAAUGAGUAGGAAUAAAACAGCCAGGAUUAUUCAAGGGGUAACUGUGGAAGUAGCCAGUAGACAAUGGGAGUUUGCCAGUUUCAAGACAUUUCAGCCACUUGAUGAUGAACAGAACUGAAAUGGAGCCAGUGAACAAGUGUGAAGCUUCAGCCCACGUGAGUCCUCCUAAGGGCUGAAGAGAGACCCUUGCAUUUCAAUUUCACUUAAGAUGCUGAAAUAAACUCUAAUUGAAUGCACCAUCUGGAAACAUUGAACUGCAUGAAGAAAGCAGGGGAAUCAAUUCACAUCAUCCUCCAGACCCUCACUGGAUGCUCCCCUCUAAGGAAUCUGAAAGACCUCAGGCCUCCUCCUUCAAAGCGUAGUAAGGACAUGGCUUUGGAGCCAAGAGCAAUGCUCAGAACUUUGGGAACCUGGUGAGACUCACCUAGGGUGGACCUGGACCCUGGGAAAAGUAAGCAAAGAAGGGGAAGCAGUAAGGAGUGUAUAGGGAAGUGAGGUGAGGGAUAAGGGGAAGCAACAUCAGAGGGGGGGGGGAGCCCCCAAUUAGUUCUUUAUGAGCUGAGUAGCAGCUUGAAAGGAAUAGCUAGAAAAAAAUGCUGUACACCAUUAUCGAAACUCUCUAUAUAUGUGAUUAUCACAUAGAGAGAGAGUUUCCUUUCUGGUAAUGAAAUGAACUAGCACACUCUCCCAAACAUGGCUUUGUUGGUGAGAAGAUGGCAACCUAUUUCUUGAGGAAGACCCACUGUUAUUUGGGUAGUAUGAAUGCUUUCUUCACUGGGAAAGACUUCCUAUUAAAGCAAAAUCAUCUGAAUUAAAUGGUGCAAACAGUUUGCAAACUUGUAGUGGACCUGAACUAGAAAAAAUCUAAAGUAGUUGAAACAGUCAAAAACAGGGACUUGUUUGGUCCUAGGCACUCAGAAGACACAGGCUUUGGUGCAGACAUGGCCAAAGCCAAGAACCACACCACACACCACUGAUCAUGAAAAUGGCACAGAAACAUCAUCAAGAAACCCCAAUCACAAAGACAGGAAUCUGUUAAGGGGGUGGACCCCAAGUUCUUGAGGGAUACACACUUUGCCAAGAAGCACAAGAAGGGCCUGAAGAAGAGGCAGACCAACAACACCAAAGCCACGAGGGCAUGUGCCGAGGAUAUAGAAGCCUUUGUCAAUCCCAAUGGGGUUAAGUCCAAGAUCCCAAAAGGCAGCAGCCACCAGCUCAACUUGCUUACAUUGCUCACCCCAAGCUCAGGAAACCUGCUUGUACCCACAUUGCCAAGGGUCUCAGGCUCUGUCAGCCAAAGGCCAAGAGCAAGGCUCAAACUAAAGCCCAGGCUAUAGCUCAGGCUCUGUCCACCAAAGGCCAAGCACAAGGUUCAAACUAAAGCCCACACUGCAGCUGCCACUCCAGCCCUGGCUCCUAAAGGUUUCCAGGUUCCCACAAGGGCUCCAGUCCAGAGGUCUCUGUUAGUUGAUGUGAGGACAGAUGGACUGCAGUGACCCUUGGGCUUCUUUCUGCAUGAGGCUGGUGCCCUCCUGUGCUAUUUGUACAAAUAAACCUCAAGCAUAAAAUAAAUAAUAAAUAGUA